rnacentral:misc_RNA from 1 species
GUUCCGUAGGUGAACCUGCGGAAGGAUCAUUAUUGUAUAACCGAGGUGCGAGGGCUGUCGCUGACCCGAAAGGACGUGCACGCCCGAGUGCCCUCACUCACAUCCAUCUCACCCCUAUGUGCACCACCGCGUGGGUCCCCCUUUGGCUUGUUCGGAGGGGGGCUUACGUUUUCACACAAACUUUGUAUGCAGUGUAGAAUGUAUUUUUUGUUUUUGCGAUCACGCAAUCAAUACAACUUUCAACAACGGAUCUCUUGGCUCUC